rnacentral:rRNA from 1 species
GAUGAACGCUGGCGGCGUGCCUAAUACAUGCAAGUAGAACGCUGAAGCUUGGUGCUUGCACCGAGCGGAUGAGUUGCGAACGGGUGAGUAACGCGUAGGUAACCUGCCUCUUAGCGGGGGAUAACUAUUGGAAACGAUAGCUAAUACCGCAUAAAAGUCGAUAUCGCAUGAUAUUGAUUUGAAAGGUGCAAAUGCAUCACUAAGAGAUGGACCUGCGUUGUAUUAGCUAGUUGGUGAGGUAACGGCUCACCAAGGCGACGAUACAUAGCCGACCUGAGAGGGUGAUAGGCCACACUGGGACUGAGACACGGCCCAGACUCCUACGGGAGGCAGCAGUAGGGAAUCUUCGGCAAUGGGGGCAACCCUGACCGAGCAACGCCGCGUGAGUGAAGAAGGGUUUCGGAUCGUAAAGCUCUGUUGUAAGAGAAGAACGAGUGUGAGAGUGGAAAGUUCACACUGUGACGGUAACUUACCAGAAAGGGACGGCUAACUACGUG